UCCAGAUCCAGGCCCCGGAGCCCCCGUGCACACAGAUGUGCAGGCAGGGAGGAGUGGGACUGAGCUGGUGUGCGUACAGGGCAGGAGACAGCCCCUGCAGCGUUGUUACUUCUGAAAUGCCAGAACCCUGCAGCACCCAACUGCUUGCAUCUUUCUGUACCCUGUUCUGCCUCCUUGCUCUGGAUAUGGGAUAAAGAGGAGAGACCACAGGUAAAUCCAGGCUUCUUGAACAGGAUCCCGAUGACUAUGAACUACUAGAACCCUGAUUUUUGAAAGGGCAAAGCCCACGGGAAUGGCGAGUGCGUCUAAGCUGCAGCAGCAGUCUUGGUUAAGGAAGAACGCAACCUAAACUUCC